UNGCAAAGUGUCUAGCAUGGUGCGGUGGA
rnacentral:piRNA from 1 species